AAUUGACAAGUCGAGCGAACAGAAGGGAGCUUGCUCCCGGAUGUUAGCGGCGGACGGGUGAGUAACACGUGGGUAACCUGCCUGUAAGACUGGGAUAACUCCGGGAAACCGGAGCUAAUACCGGAUAGUUCCUUGAACCGCAUGGUUCAAGGAUGAAAGACGGUUUCGGCUGUCACUUACAGAUGGACCCGCGGCGCAUUAGCUAGUUGGUGGGGUAAUGGCUCACCAAGGCGACGAUGCGUAGCCGACCUGAGAGGGUGAUCGGCCACACUGGGACUGAGACACGGCCCAGACUCCUACGGGAGGCAGCAGUAGGGAAUCUUCCGCAAUGGACGAAAGUCUGACGGAGCAACGCCGCGUGAGUGAUGAAGGUUUUCGGAUCGUAAAGCUCUGUUGUUAGGGAAGAACAAGUGCGAGAGUAACUGCUCGCACCUUGACGGUACCUAACCAGAAAGCCACGGCUAACUACGUGCCAGCAGCCGCGGUAAUACGUAGGUGGCAAGCGUUGUCCGGAAUUAUUGGGCGUAAAGGGCUCGCAGGCGGUUUCUUAAGUCUGAUGUGAAAGCCCCCGGCUCAACCGGGGAGGGUCAUUGGAAACUGGGAAACUUGAGUGCAGAAGAGGAGAGUGGAAUUCCACGUGUAGCGGUGAAAUGCGUAGAGAUGUGGAGGAACACCAGUGGCGAAGGCGACUCUCUGGUCUGUAACUGACGCUGAGGAGCGAAAGCGUGGGGAGCGAACAGGAUUAGAUACCCUGGUAGUCCACGCCGUAAACGAUGAGUGCUAAGUGUUAGGGGGUUUCCGCCCCUUAGUGCUGCAGCUAACGCAUUAAGCACUCCGCCUGGGGAGUACGGUCGCAAGACUGAAACUCAAAGGAAUUGACGGGGGCCCGCACAAGCGGUGGAACAUGUGGUUUAAUUCGAAGCACGCGAAGAACCUUACCAGGUCUUGAC
rnacentral:rRNA from 1 species